rnacentral:rRNA from 1 species
AUUGAACGCUGGCGGCAGGCCUAACACAUGCAAGUCGAGCGGGGUUUUCGGACCUAGCGGCGGACGGGUGAGUAAUGCGUAGGAAGCUGCCCGAUAGAGGGGGAUAUCAGCUGGAAACGACUGUUAAUACCGCAUAAUGUCUACGGACCAAAGUGUGGGACCUUCGGGCCACAUGCUAUCGGAUGCGCCCGCGGGGGGUUAGCUAGUUGGUGAGGUAAUGGGUCACCAAGGCGACGAUCUCUAGCUGGUUUGAGAGGAUGAUCAGCCACGCUGGAACUGAGACACACGCCAGACGCCUACGGGGGGCAGCAGUGGGGAAUAUUGGGCGAGGGGCGCAAGGCUGAUCCAGCCAUGCAGCGUGUGUGAAGAAGGCCUUCGGGUUGUAAAGCACUUUCAGCGAGGAGGAAGGGUAGUGUGUUAAUGGCACAUCAUCUUGACGUUACUCGCAGAAGAAGCACCGGCUAACUCUGUGCCAGCCGCCGCAGUAA